UACGUAGGUCCCGAGCGUUGUCCGGAUUUAUUGGGCGUAAAGCGAGCGCAGGUGGUUUAAUAAGUCUGAUGUAAAAGGCAGUGGCUCAACCAUUGUAUGCAUUGGAAACUGGUAGACUUGAGUGCAGGAGAGGAGAGUGGAAUUCCAUGUGUAGCGGUGAAAUGCGUAGAUAUAUGGAGGAACACCGGUGGCGAAAGCGGCUCUCUGGCCUGUAACUGACACUGAGGCUCGAGAGCGUGGGGAGCAAACAGG
rnacentral:rRNA from 1 species